rnacentral:rRNA from 1 species
AUAGGAAACAAAAAGGCAUCUUUUUGUUUUUAAAGACCUUCUUAUGAAGGUAUGCUUAAAGAGGGGCUUGCGCCACAUUAGUUAGUUGGUAGGGUAAAAGCCUACCAAGACGAUGAUGUGUAGCUGGACUGAGAGGUUGAACAGCCACAUUGGGACUGAGACACGGCCCAAACUCCUACGGGAGGCAGCAGUAGGGAAUUUUCGGCAAUGGAGGAAACUCUGACCGAGCAACGCCGCGUGAACGAUGAAGUAUUUCGGUAUGUAAAGUUCUUUUAUUGAAGAAGAAAAAGUAGUGGAAAAACUAUAUUGACGUUAUUCAAUGAAUAAGCCCCGGCUAACUAUGUGCCAGCAGCCGCGGUAAGACAUAGGGGGCGAGCGUUAUCCGGAAUUAUUGGGCGUAAAGGGUGCGUAGGCUGUUAGAUAAGUCUAUAAUUUAAUUUCAGUGCUUAACGCUGUCUUGUUAUAGAAACUGUCUUGACUAGAGUGAGAUAGAGGCAAGCGGAAUUCCAUGUGUAGCGGUAAAAUGUGUAAAUAUAUGGAGGAACACCAGAAGCGUAGGCGGCUUGCUGGGUCUUUACUGACGCUGAGGCACGAAAGCGUGGGUAGCAAACAGGAUUAGAUACCCUGGUAGUCCACGCCGUAAACGAUGAGUACUAAGUGUCGGGGUAAAACUCGGUACUGAAGUUAACACAUUAAGUACUCCGCCUGAGUAGUACGUACGCAAGUAUGAAACUUAAAGGAAUUGACGGGACUCCGCACAAGCGGUGGAUCAUGUUGUUUAAUUCGAAGAUACACGAAAAAUCUUACCAGGUCUUGACAUACUCUGCAAAGCUAUAGAAAUAUAGUGGAGGUUAUCAGGGAUACAGGUGGUGCAUGGUUGUCGUCAGUUCGUGUCGUGAGAUGUUAGGUUAAGUCCUAAAACGAGCGCAACCCUUGUCGUUAAUUGCCAGCACGUAAUGGUGGGGACUUUAGCGAGACUGCCAAUUAAACAUUGGAGGAAGGUGAGGAUUACGUCAAAUCAUCAUGCCCCUUAUGAUCUGGGCUACAAACGUGAUACAAUGGCUGUGACAAAGAGUAGCUGAAACGCGAGUUUUUAGCCAAUCUCAAAAAAGCAGUCUCAGUUCGGAUUGAAGUCUGUAACUCGACUUCAUGAAGUGGAAUCGCUAGUAAUCGCGAAUCAGCAUGUCGCGGUGAAUACGUUCU